GUGAAUCAUCGAAUUUUUGAACGCAAAUUGCACUUUCUGGUAAUACGGUGCGUAUGUCUGUUUGAGGCUCAGAUAAAUAAAAAUAGGUGUUAUUACUCUUAAUGGUGCUGCAUAGGAUGUGAGUUGUUUUUACUUUUGGUUUUAAGUGACUUAAAAUUAUGUAAGAUUUCUGAACGUAUUUAAAUUAUUUAAUUAUGUUAUUGAUUUAAGAUAUUAGGUGUGGUUAUACAUAUGCUUUC
rnacentral:misc_RNA from 1 species